rnacentral:lncRNA from 1 species
GGAUAACCCUGUAGCAUACGGCCUCCAUCCCUCCACUCUCGUUACCACGCAAAUCAGCCCUAAGCAAAUCCCACCCAAGGUCUUCCCUCUCCUUACUGGAAUCAAAGACCGAGGGAAGCUCCGGAUCCCGAGUCAGCCCUUAGUAAAUCCCACCCAAGGAGGACCCAGGUCACUCUCCUUGCUAGAAUCAAAGACAGAAAGAAACUACGGGUCCUGAGCAUCAAGGAUGCCCGAGGCCACUACGUGAUACUAGUCAAGUCACUUAACCCCAAUUGCCCAGCCCUUACAGCAUUUCUGUCUUGGAAUUGGAUAGCAUCGAUUCUAGAAGGAUUUCUAAGUAGAAGGGAACCGACAGGUGUCUGUGAAAGAGAGCAGAAGAUUCCAUUACCUAGGAGACAAGGAAGAUAUAUAAGGAAGAAAUGAGUUGACAGUUGGUCUUUUGCCUCUGGACAUUGUGGAAGAGGCAAGAAGAAAGAGGGGAUUUACAAGACAAGACAAGACAAGACAAGCAUGCAAACCAAAGCAAAGGACCUGAUCUGUCCAUCAAGGUGAACAUUCCAAAACAGAAGGUUCCCAGGAAAGGCAGUUGGAGCUGGCCAGGGGAGAUGAACUGAGAAUAACUUCUGCUCUGGGUUUACUGACCAAGGAAGAGACUUCUUCUCUGGGUUACUGAUCAAAGGAGUGACCUGGGUGGCUCUGACAGAGUGGUAGAGAAGAAGCUAAGAACUGAUCCCUGUUAGCUUCUGUCCUAGGCUGAAGGACCCUUGAGGGGCUUCUGGAAUUAAUCUGAGAAGAAAUUAACUUUUGUUGGUGGCUUUGUGUAAUUGGAAUAAGAAAGAAGAUUUAACUGAGUCACAAUUGUGGCAAGACUGACAUUUCCCAAAACAACCUUGAGGGAACAGGAGUCUGUUUCUGAGGCAAGGGGUGACUGGUAGUUUUUACUACUGACAGCUGGGAUAGAGAAAAAGAUUUAAGGAGCUCAUAUGUGAUGAAUGUUUAGUUAUUAAUAUAGAUAGUUAGUGAAUAAAUUUCUAGGUAUGGAGUGUAGGUAGUUAGGC